UUAAUUCGAGAGUUUGAUCCUGGCUCAGGACGAACGCUGGCGGCGUGCCUAAUACAUGCAAGUCGAACGAACUCUGGUAUUGAUUGGUGCUUGCAUCAUGAUUUACAUUUGAGUGAGUGGCGAACUGGUGAGUAACACGUGGGAAACCUGCCCAGAAGCGGGGGAUAACACCUGGAAACAGAUGCUAAUACCGCAUAACAACUUGGACCGCAUGGUCCGAGCUUGAAAGAUGGCUUCGGCUAUCACUUUUGGAUGGUCCCGCGGCGUAUUAGCUAGAUGGUGGGGUAACGGCUCACCAUGGCAAUGAUACGUAGCCGACCUGAGAGGGUAAUCGGCCACAUUGGGACUGAGAC
rnacentral:rRNA from 2 species